AUACUGUUGUAUUAAUGAAAAGUAUAAUUGAAAUCAAAUGUAACGCAUAGGGGAACGCAUGAGUAGCGAGUGUAUUUUGGAAUUAUUUUUAUUGCAAUUAGCACUCUAAUUCCAAUGAUAGCAUUUUUUGAUAAUUUUUAUUCAGCAUUUGUGAACGCCCAAAUUUACGGUUUCUUGUCCAAAUUUAUAAAGCAGUUAAAAGUGGCUAGCAUGCGUACAUAUGUGCAUAUAUACAUGUAUACAUAUAUAAAUAUGUGAAUACGUAUCAUAAUCGUAGCUACAAAUAUGUAUAUGUAUGCUAUUACAUUAAAUCCAGCAUUUAGUUAUUUUAGUUCUAAUGCGCCAGCCCAGCCUUCGUACAGCCGGUAUAUAUGUACGUAUGUAUGUGUGCCCUUUUGAGCAUUUUUACAUUGAUGUAGGUUCAUAUGUAUGUAUACAUACAUUUGUUUAUGAUGUAUACGGUUGAUGAUUUCGAUGAACAUCAAUCAAAAUUAGACACAGUUGUGGAAAAAAUACUAUCAUGCUAAAUAUACCAGAAUGUAUUUUUUUUUUGGUCGCAUCCACUACGCUUCAAGCUAAGACAGAAAACCUUAUGGGAGAAGCUCCAGUUACAAUUUUCAAUCGAUCCGGUUGUUUGAAUCUUUGGCAAACAUCGUUUCAGCUCAAAUUGUGUAACAGACUAGAUUGGUCUGAUAAUUGGUCGCAUUGCAGCACACUUAAACGUUUUAUUUUAUUUUAGCAGGAUUUUGCAAAUUUUGCUUGCAUUUAUUUCAAAAAGCCGUUACAGCUGCUGCUCGAGGGCUAAAAUGCUAAUUAAGAUCAAAAUAACAUUAAAAUUAUACGUUACUUUAUUAUCAGUUUAGAAUUAUCAAUUUUAAAAUGGAUAUUUCUAUUUGAUCCCCCACGAUACAUUUCGUUUCCUUUACAGACAUAGCUCCUGCAUACUAAAUUUGUUUGUUGGGUUUUGACGUCGAAAUUGAGGUGAA